UAUUACAUCUGAAACAGGAUG
ensembl:piRNA 21ur-10429 ncRNA